AAUUGGCAGGGGUGAUGAAUCAAUUAGAUGUGCUAAGGAACACUUUUUCUAAUGAGCUGAACUUUUGAGGCAUAUUAAUAUUCUGACCUGCCAAAU